GAUUAAGUUAUUAAGGGCGCACGGUGGAUGCCUUGGCACUAGAAGCCGAUGAAGGACGUUACUAACGACGAUAUGCUUUGGGGAGCUGUAAGUAAGCUUUGAUCCAGAGAUUUCCGAAUGGGGAAACCCAGCAUGAGUUAUGUCAUGUUAUCGAUAUGUGAAUACAUAGCAUAUCAGAAGGCACACCCGGAGAACUGAAACAUCUUAGUACCCGGAGGAAGAGAAAGAAAAUUCGAUUCCCUUAGUAGCGGCGAGCGAAAUGGGAAGAGCCCAAACCAACAAGCUUGCUUGUUGGGGUUGUAGGACACUCUAUACGGAGUUACAAAGGACGACAUUAGACGAAUCAUCUGGAAAGAUGAAUCAAAGAAGGUAAUAAUCCUGUAGUCGAAAAUGUUGUCUCUCUUGAGUGGAUCCUGAGUACGACGGAGCACGUGAAAUUCCGUCGGAAUCUGGGAGGACCAUCUCCUAAGGCUAAAUACUCUCUAGUGACCGAUAGUGAACCAGUACCGUGAGGGAAAGGUGAAAAGCACCCCGGAAGGGGAGUGAAAUAGAACCUGAAACCGUGUGCUUACAAGUAGUCAGAGCCCGUUAAUGGGUGAUGGCGUGCCUUUUGUAGAAUGAACCGGCGAGUUACGAUUUGAUGCAAGGUUAAGCAGUAAAUGUGGAGCCGUAGCGAAAGCGAGUCUGAAUAGGGCGUUUAGUAUUUGGUCGUAGACCCGAAACCAGGUGAUCUACCCUUGGUCAGGUUGAAGUUCAGGUAACACUGAAUGGAGGACCGAACCGACUUACGUUGAAAAGUGAGCGGAUGAACUGAGGGUAGCGGAGAAAUUCCAAUCGAACCUGGAGAUAGC
rnacentral:rRNA from 1 species